rnacentral:lncRNA from 1 species
AUGGAAUGCUUGUGGAAGCCUCAGCUAUCUCUUCAACCACCUCACACUAGAAGCCGCCUUGAUAGAGUAGCCUUCAUCUUCUCACAGCCAAGAGUACUCUGUCUUAGUUUGAGUAAUCUCUUGAAUAGACUCGCCACAGCCUAAACCCGGAUGGCUCCUUCUUCAGGUGCUUGCAAUGGACUUCUUGGAUCGCCUAGGAAGCUCACUCAACUCCCCUCCUCAAGCUUGGCCUAAUCUAGGUUCAAGCUUGAAGUGAGCUUCAGUGAGACUUCACACCAGUGGCGCCAUAUCACACUAGUAACCACUCUCCAUUGCACACACAAUGGGCAACAAGUCUUCCUCUUAUACUCGGAUGGAUGGUGAGCAAAGAACACUUCUUGUGAACCUGAAACAUCACUCAAACUCCAGCAAAGAUAAGACACAAUAGUAUUGGGAUCAAUCCUUGAUUAAUCAUCAAGUUUGAUUCCCAAAUAUCACAAGCAUUGCAACAGAUUAAACAAGUCAUUUUCAAGUUCUAAUCUUUGCAAGCAAACUCUCUAAGCACAAGCAUGAUCUUAACAGAUUCAAUACAAGCUACUUAGGCAAUUUUUAAAGCUUCUUUACUCAGCAAUUUAGACAUGAAUCUAAUGCUUCAAUGUAAGACAGCCACAAGACAGUAUGCAAUAACUUUAAAACGGUUUCAAUCCAUGUAUGCAAGCAGAUUUAAGCAAUCACAACAAGCAUCACUAUGAACCUUAGUUAAGCACUACUAUCAACAACCAAUAUCAGACCCAAUGCAUAACCUUAGGUGAUCUCAUUUCAUGAAAGCAAUCAGGUUUAGACAACUUCUAACUCCCUAACAAGCCUCACUAGAAUCAGGGUUAAGCAUUUUUAAACUUUUCAACCACCAAACAAGACUUUUUAAGCAUUAUGGGACAAAUUCAUUUCAUUUCAUUUAGCAAUCUUUAAUAUAUCCUCAAGUUUUCAAUCACAACACCACAUCACAAUCAGUUUAAUAUAAUUUUCAGUUCAAAUACUCAAGCUUUAUACAAGAGAAAGAGAUUUCCUUACAGCCAAGGAACUAGUGUUAGUUCCUUGAAAAAGCUUUAUACAAGAGAAUUUUCAGUUCAAAUACUCAAGCUUUAUACAAGAGAAAGAGAUUUCCUUACAGCCAAGGAACUAGUGUUAGUUCCUUGAAACUCCUUAGUACAUGGCAAGAUCUGAGCUGUUGGUGUCGACCCCAACAUCUCCUGCUUCCAUGGACCUUCCUCUUGAACCCACCAUGUCAAAGAGACCACCUUUCUUCAUGAGAAUCACCAUGAGACUCGCCUGGAUCUGGUUUGUUGAAGAGGCUAGCUAGACCACUUCAUAACCUUUGCUUCCAAGGCCUUCUUUCUUCAAGGGUGGACAUGAGAACGUGGAGAACAACCAGAGACAGCUACUGGACGCCAUGUAUGAGCCCACCUUCUUCUUGGAGAGGUUUUACAGCAGGCUGAACAUGAAGCUUCUUCUUGGUUUGGAAAUGACAUGGGAGAAGCCUUGAGCUUAGCGGAAGCUUGAACCAAGUUCUAAUGAACCUGGCUCUGAUACCAUAUGAGAUUUUAAGAGUCUAGGAUGUGUGUGUGAAGAACAAGCCUCUUAGGGCAGAAUAGAGUCUUGAAAUGGUGAAGAAAGAAUCUGAUGAACUAGUAUGAACUUAGAUCAGAAACAAAGAGACUUUGAGAGAUUAAGAGAUUAGAGACUAAGAAAGGGAGAGAUUAAGAGAAUCUGAUCAAGAACAUACUUUAUAAUAUGAAGGAGAUGGGGAAAUCCCCCAUACUCUCUUAAGAGCUUUAAUUUUCGUCCAUACACAUGCUUUUAUAAGCUUUACACUUUGAAACAUUAGAAACCCUUAAUCUAAUGGCUAGAAAUGACUUGUGAAAUGGAUGGCUUGGAUGUAGUCUUGUUUUGAUCUUUGCAAUCUUGGUGAUGGCUUCUGAUUGGUUAAGGAAGGCUGGCUGGUGAUUGGUCCAUUCAAACUGGUCAAGGCAAGGGCUGGCUUCUGAUUGGUUCCUUAAAGGCUCCCAUGAACCUUCCCACUUCUUUAGCUAGAUACAUGGUCCCCUUUGCUUUCCCUUUACACCUCUUGACAGCCUGUCCUUGUUGACCACGUCCUCUCUCUUCCUUAUCCACAAACAGUCUGAUUACAAUCAGACAAGGUCGCCUAAUCGCUCUCUAAACCGACGCCCUAAGUUUGCACAACUUCUGGUCGAUCCUGGGUGAAGUACGGUUGAUGGUACGGACCGCCUGUCCGUACCUCACCCUAUUUUUGCACAUCUCACCCAAACAUCUCCAAUGGUCAGACCUGACUCGGUUUGGGUCGCCCUAAGAUUGCCCGGCCCGUCCGGUUUUGUACCGUCCGUAUCGUCUGAUCAUCUGGUCGCCCUAUCUUUGCACCAUCACCCAUCUGUCUCCAAAUGGUGUCUAAGUCCCUCCUGGACUCAAACCCUAUCUUUGCACAGCCUUCAUGACACUUCUAGACUUCUCUAAACCUUCAUGAAGCCUUGAUAGACAAUCUCUUAAGAUCUUGUCCCUAUUCUUGCUCAAGACCCAAACUCAACCCAACUCCUCCUUUGGCUCCAUUUCUUUCUUCAAGUCAACACCUUGAGCCUCCUUUGCAACCGGUCAUGCUCUUUUAAUGGACUGGAGAUGCUGAAUCUUCACCCAACAGCCCCUCCUGGUGUUUAUGAACGCUACUUGAACUUUCACCUCCAAAGGUUCCUCCUUUCUUCAUCUCUUGAACUCGCCAGCUUCUGGAACUAGGGAAGGAACUCUUCUUCAAAGGUUUCCUCUUGGACAGAAGGAAUGGCUCGCCUUGUAUGGACUGGAACAGGAAGGAACCGCCAUGAUAAACCUCCAUAAUAGCUUCAGACAUCUUCUUCUCGAAGUGAGAGAGCUGGCUGGACAGAUCUUCAUGGCUUGGCUUCAUGGUGAGACAGACUUGUGACUUGAAUGCGGAAGCUACAGCUCAGGUUCUGAUGAACCUGGCUCUGAUACCAUGAGAGUUUAUAAGGAUUCACUCAAGGUGUGUGUGUAAGAAAGUGUUUAGGAGAGUUUAUGUGAACAGAUUUAAGACUUAGGAGUAUGGGGGAGAGAUUUAGAGUAUGAAAGAGACUAGGUAACCAGAUUAAAGAAACUGAGAGACUUGGAGAAUAGAUUAGAGACUUAGUAUCAAGAACAGACUUUCAUAGAACAU